UACGUAGGGGGCGAGCGUUGUCCGGAGUUACUGGGCGUAAAGGGCGCGCAGGCGGUCUGGUAAGUUUGGAGUGACAGUGCCGGGCUUAACCCGGCAAGGCCUCUGAAAACUGCUGGACUUGAGGACCAGAGAGGGACAUAGAAUUCCGGGUGGAGUGGUGAAAUGCGUAGAUAUCCGGAGGAAUACCAAAGGCGAAGGCAGUGUCCUGGAUGGUACCUGACGCUGAGGCGCGAAAGCCAGGGGAG
rnacentral:rRNA from 1 species